rnacentral:rRNA from 1 species
GACGAACGCUGGCGGCGUGCUUAACACAUGCAAGUCGAACGGACAGGCCCUGCUCUUGCGGGGUGCUCGAUUGGCGAACGGGUGAGUAACACGUGAGUAACCUGCCCUUGACUUAGUGAUAACUUCACGAAACUGGGGCUAAUACCGCAUAUGAGCUCCUGCUGCAUGGUGGGGGUUGGAAAGUUUCGGCGGUUGGGGCUCGUCUCGCAGCUUAUCAGCUUGUUGGUGUGGUUGUGGCUUACCAAGGCUUUGACGGGUAGCCGACCUGGGAGGUUGAACGGGCACAUGGGGACUAAGAUAGGGCGCAGACGGCUACCGGAGGCAGUGGGGGAGAAUCUGGCAGAAUGGGGCGAAGCCUGAUGCAGCGGCGCCGCGUGCGGAAUAACGGGCUAUGGGUGGAAAACCGAUUUCGACUGUGACAAAGAGUGAGUGACGGUAAUGGGUAAGAAAGCAACGGCUAACUACGUG